rnacentral:rRNA from 1 species
UCCGCCCGCUGGCGUCGUGCUUAACACAUGCAAGUCGAACGGAAAGGCCCUGCUUUUGUGGGGUGCUCGAGUGGCGAACGGGUGAGUAACACGUGAGUAACCUGCCCUUGACUUUGGGAUAACUUCAGGAAACUGGGGCUAAUACCGGAUAGGAGCUCCUGCUGCAUGGUGGGGGUUGGAAAGUUUCGGCGGUUGGGGAUGGACUCGCGGCUUAUCAGCUUGUUGGUGGGGUAGUGGCUUACCAAGGCUUUGACGGGUAGCCGGCCUGAGAGGGUGACCGGCCACAUUGGGACUGAGAUACGGCCCAGACUCCUACGGGAGGCAGCAGUGGGGAAUAUUGCACAAUGGGCGGAAGCCUGAUGCAGCAACGCCGCGUGCGGGAUGACGGCCUUCGGGUUGUAAACCGCUUUCGCCUGUGACGAAGCGUGAGUGACGGUAAUGGGUAAAGAAGCACCGGCUAACUACGUG